rnacentral:siRNA from 1 species
GAAUGCCACCCAUCCUGAAACUAC